UCCCUCAUAGCUUAGUCGGUAAGGAACCUGCCUGCAAUCCAGGAGACCUGGGUUCAAAUCCUGGGUAAGAGAA
rnacentral:tRNA from 1 species